CCACUAGUCUUUUGUAGCAACAUGUCUAGUAAAGUAGUGAUGGUUAUACUUGUCACGAGUAUUUUAUGGUUUUCAAGUACAGUUCAUGUUUGUUCCACUGCACUGAUUGAAGAUAGUGACAAGUUCUAUGUAAAUUUUUGUGUUAACAGCAGUAAUAAUACCAGUUAUAAUGACAGUGUCAAUGAUUGCAGUGAUAAGUUAAUAUCGAGUAAUCUUCUGGUAACAAGCGAACGUAUUCUUUAUGGUCGAUUUGGCUUCCACGGCAUUAGAGAAUUCAACCGAAUAAUUAUGUUAUAAUGGUGAUUACAAGCAGUAUAACACAAUAUCCAUUUACAACAGCAUCCCAAACAUAAAUGGAUCAACGACUUAUGAGCUGACUUUGGA